AAAAUUAAUCGCUUUUAUUACAAAGAAGGCUAAUUGGCAAAUAAACUAAAAAAAAAAAGCCUUGUUAAAGAGAAAAACUAAUACAUUGAAAAUGUAGCAUAAAUUUAAGUCUAACUCAAUAAUGCAGCAAGGUUACAUUGUAUCCAAUUAUAGCAUCCAUUUGAUCCAUUGAGUAAGUCUUCGCCAAGCAAUACCCACGAGCAAGCCGAAAAAUUCCUGUGCCACCAACGAUCGGCAUUUCCCUCACCGCACUCAUCACCGGAUUCCGGCCAAGUACACUAAAAGAGCUGCCAUUGUAACGUCCACUAAUGAACCCAUAUGUUAGUGUCAUAAGAAGGCUAAACUCACUUUCUUGAGAGGACAUGGCAUAUAUCCCUUGUGCACGCCCUAACACUGUAGAAUUCGGGUUUGGUGUGGCUGUGAGUGGAUUAUCCAUAACAAAAACGGAUCCAAACAUAGCUGCCAUUGGAUUUGAGCCAGUGAAGUUGGACCGGCCUGCAACCCGGACUGCGGUUGGAUUCGGGCCACCCACAAUGUCAUGCAUGUAGAACUGCAUUCGUGUGACCUUGGACUUCAUCUUCGAGGCCGCGGUGUGAUCGAAGGAGAACACAAGCAGUGCAAAGAGAAGUAGAAGUUUGCUUUCUAGUGCCAUGGCUAACACGAAAAGUGCAAACAAUGUAUUUUUCUUUUAGAAAUACAAGUUCGUUGGAAGAGGGUAUUAGUCAUGAAUAUAUAUACAAGAAGGUGUGGUUCUUGGUUGAACCUUUCUUCGCUAGAUAUUCAAAACUUUUGCUUCCCAUUUCGAUACGUAUCCAACGGUGUUGGAAACAUUUGUCAAGGUUCCAAUGGUUGAAUUUUAAUUGCAUUGAAGAUUGGUGCCCAAUGCGUGGCCCAGGUGGUGAUUUAAUUACUAUCAACUAAUUUCAAAGUCUUUCUUUUGAAGAUGGAGAAAAAAACAUUAUUGACUUGAAGUUUCAUGAAGACUUUCUUUAAAGAGAAUGAUGCUUCUUCGUUCUUCUGUCAAAGUUUCAGACUGCAGAAGCCGGUGAACCAAAAAGCUUAGAAAAUUAAGAAGUCUAUUCAGAAUUGCAUUUAGAUCACCUAUCUUUUGAGGGAAAAAACCCCAAGCUACAAGCUACAAGGUCCUAAAGAUGUAGCAGAUCUCUGCCAUGGAAGCUUCGAGAGAAGCAAACAAGACUGUUCAACUAAACUCCAAAACACUAGGAUAGUUCAUUUUCAUUAAUGCCUUUGUCAAAUUUGUUAUGCUAUUUCAAUUAUUUUCUUUUAUCAUUACAUUCACGAUAGUUUUCAAAGUUUAUAGGCACCUAUUUCAUGAAUUUUAGUUAAUGUACAAUUUUUUAGUAUGGCAAAUAAAUUACACUUUUACAGACCCCAUCAUGAGUUGCAUGCAAUUUAUAUUUUGGUCCUCACUGCUAAUAUUUUAAUUUUGCAUAAAACAAAAUUUAUUCCCAACCAAACAAAAGGAAAAGUCAACAAGAGGACAAAAAUUGCAGUAAAAUAGGAAAUAAUAUUAAAAUCAAAUGGGCAGUGGUCCUUCUAAAUAAAUUGUUAUUUGCAAUAAUAACAGACAUUGCAAGAGGAAAUCAAUAACCAACUUUUUCUUACAGGAUCAAAAGUCACUGGGUUUACCAAUCUUUAUGUUCUGCUCCACCAAGAAACCUGUAAUUGCAUUCCUCUGCCAACUCUUGAAACUCUUUUGAUCAAGAUGGGCUAGAACUUCUCCCCCAGGUAAAGCCAAUUUGGUAGCCUCAAAUGCAACUUUGAUUGAUUCCCUCCAAGUUCCACCCACAGCAUUAGCAUUCACUGGUACUGUUGGUUGGCUAGGAAUAGGAUAUUCCAUUGGUAAGGAAUACCCAGAGAGCAGAUGGCCUACCCAAACACCAUCUUUUCUGAAUGGGCAGAAAAUUGAUUUAAAAGAAUAAUACUUGGAAUUUGGAGAAAUUUAAAAGUUCAAGAGAAUAAAGUACAAAAUAAUGACUCAAGAUCUCAUUGGCUACAUGUAACAUAUGGAAACUCACAAAACAACGUCCAGAUGCCGUGGCACAUAAUGCCCACCACCUAUUCCAAGAAGGAUUUUGCUUCUGCCGUUAUUCCUAGGCCAGUCUCCCACAGCAAUGCCAUCUCCAAGACCCAAUCCUUGCCACACUAAUAGAGUAAUGGCCUGUGCAGCGCCCUGCCUCCUCCUGUACUCUUCCGUACUACCUUGAGAAAAGAGGCAAUUUCCAAUACAUUAGACCGGGACAAUCAACAACAAAAGAAAUGAUCACUUAAGGCCUAAAACAUAACUAUGUUGUCAACUACUCAUCCUCAAGGAAAACAAGGAGAACCAGAUUUUCAGGAAACAAAAACAUUGCAAAACCAAAAAGAACAAUUCUUUCACAAAGCAAGCUGAAAGAAUAUGCAAUAAGAAGUUACCAAUCUCUACAAACAUGGUUGGUGAAUUAAUUACUCGUCCAUGAUAAGUAGCCUCCAAGGUUACCUAAAAUAUGAUAUAACAGUUGAAAGAACCCAGCAUAUUUAAACUAUUUUGGUCCAUAGCAUGUGAAAUCAUCAUGUUAACAUGUCACCUCAAAUUCAGGAGACAGAUUAUGUGAUGCAGCAAUGGUCCUCAAGAGUCUCAACCAUGGCCCUAUCCUAGGAUUUGGAGGUGCUGCCCACCCUACCUUUUCACCAGCAACUAGAACCUCACCUUCACCAAUAUGUGGAGUACGAAUUUUGUUCAUGCCAAUAGGGUGAAUUGUGAAAGCACGUCUUUUUGAAGAAGCAACUUGCUUGCUAAGAAACAUGAACUCAUCCACAGACUCACCAGUUGCCUCCUCCCACCGUUUAUCUAAGUGGUCCUCCUUGACAAGGCGGUUAUCUAAUUUUAUUAGCCUCACCUCCUCGUUUACAUAGCUUUGUGCAUCCUCCUUGACCAACCAGAGUUAGAUGAAAAGGAAACCUGCCAGGAGGGGCCAAGUUGCCAACCAGGCAUGGCUAACAGAGCCGAGGCUGGGCCAAUGGAGAGCGGGUCCACGGUGGUCGCCACCACCAGGGUCACCAUCUCCUUCUCCCGUUUCGGAUUCAGUUUCCAGAGUGGGAGGCUGAAGGGUUGAUUGUACCGCGAAGGCACGUGCCUAAAGAGAGCGCACGUGAGUGAAAGGUAACCGAUUCCCCGCCAAAGCAAUAAAUGGAGGAGACUAGAAAAGCCCUUAGGCUUUGGAUUAUUUUCUGUACCUCUUAAAGCUGUUUCACUAUACACACACACAGUGAGAGAGAACAAAAAAACAUGGCGGAGGAAGAGAGAGAAAUCGAAGUCCGUACGCUGUCUGGUGAAUCGAGUAAGGUUUCUAUAGCGGCAAAUAAAACCAUUAGGGACCUGAAGCUAUUGUUGGUCCGCACAUUCCCUCCCGCCUCGUCCUCUCCCAAUUUUCAUCUCUUCUUCAAGGGAGUUAAAUUAAGCUUGCAUAGUCAUAUCGGCACACUUGCCAUUGAGCCUGGUGAAUUGUUAGUCUUAGUUCCAUUCAUCAAGAAGGAUCGGCCUCAUGCCCCAAAUCCUGAUUUUUCAACAAAUUCGUCCAAUCAAAGCUCGAGCUCUAGCUAUGCGGAUUCAGUUUAUUCAGAUAUGAUGCAAGAGUUCUCAUCCUUUUUAGAUGAAUCAACCAACACAAGUAGAACACCCAAUUAUGUGCCAGAUGAUACUUAUUUUGGAUAUAAAAGAAAAAGGAAUUUUGAGAACUAUAAUGAAGAACAUAAAGAAGAAGGACCGUAUGCUUUUUUAUGGAGUGUGCUGCAGUGUCCCAGUAAGAAUAUUAUGGAGGGCCAGAAUUGUGAAAAGUUUGUUGAGGUUCUGGAAUCCUUGAAUUGCUUGACAAAUCCACGUACUGGGAUUUGUGUAUUGUUGGAAAAUCAGGCUAAUGGUGAUAGGCAAAAAUACAGAGACAACAAGGCUUUGUGCUUGUGUCCUGCAUGGCUGAAAAGAAUUAUGCAGGCAUUUGCUUUCUUGAAUAUUUUCUCUGGAUUUCUCCAAAUGCAGAAAGAAGAAAUUACCACAGCUCAUCUAAAGGAGGCACUAAAGCAGCUUAGGAAAUUUGGGUUCAGAGCUGGCUUUGAGGAUGUAGAGCAUAUUUCUAUUCUUUGUCCUAAGGUUGUAUCCAUAGCUAAUAAGGACAUAAAGCUUCGAAAUUAUGCUGAUGCCCUUGUUAUCAUCAAUUCUGAAACAAAAGAAAGAGAUGAAUUUGUAAUCAAAUCUAGAAAUGGUCAAAAAGCCAUGUCUUUAUCGAAGAUGUUUAUGAUGAUGAGAAAAAGAGAUAGUUCCUUUAAAACUGAUUUGUGGGAAGCUGCCAGACUUCUAAUGUAUAAAAGUGGAAAUGCAAUUAUGAUGCACUUUUCCUUGGAAGAUUUACUCAAAUUUGUGAAGGGAGGUGGGGUUCCUGCAAGUGGAAACGAAGCAAAACAGAAAAAGGGAAGCGGGUCCUCUGCUCCACACUCUUUUUUGUUCCAAAUGCGAUGCUCUGUAGGUUAUCUCAAUGGGUAUUCCUUAUUUUAAUUAGUUAUCAUGUGGUAGUGCUGUGUUCCUGUGCUUCUGAUUAACAUGCAUAUAACUAUUUACAUCCAAAAGUGAAAAUAAAAUGGGAACCAAGUAAGUUAUAAAGAACCCUUUUUUUCUGCCAAACUUAUUUAAUAUUUUAUUGUCAAAAUUCCAUUUUGAUUACUUAAUUUACAGAUUUUUCACUUUUGCAGUUUUUACUCAUCAAAGAUAAAUAAAAUAAUUUAUUUUUCAGUUUCUUUUCAGAUUUGUUUUUACAGGCUAGGUCAACUAUAUUUGUUCUUGGUCCAUGCAAACAUUUACUGGAGUAUUUGUUGGCACUCCAGCAACAAGAAAAUGGUCUUGUGGAAACAAUGUUUCUUUUUUAAUCCUUUGAACUGAAAUAUAGUAACAACUUCUUUACAAACCAGGAGACAAAUCAACUGCUCCCAGUGGAAAUGGUUCAACAUCUCCGAGAGGGCUCUGGAUCAAAUGGACAAGUAAUUUGUAUACUUACUCUUCAAUUAGUUUCGGGUCAGAAAUUGGAACAUGUUUGACACUUGCCAGAUAUUUUUGAUGAGGUGGUCUGACUUCAAAAAGUACUUAACAUGAUGCUAUCAGGGCAUAAUCGGAAUGAAUAUAUUAUGGAUUUAACAGGUCUUAUUAAAAUUGGCAUGCUCAGUGCUAAACUCUUCAAGUUUGACCAAUGUAGAUGGUACAUGUUGAAGAUAUUGGUGCCAGAAAAGCCAUUUAUGUAGAAAUACCACAUGAACUCUCAGAUAACACAAAGUCUGCCCUGAAAUGUAUGGGGAUCUCUAAAUUAUAUUGCCACCAGGCGGAUUCUAUCAUGGCAUCUCUUGCUGGGAAGAAUGUUGUAGUGUCAACAAUGACAUCUAGUGGGAAGUCCCUUUGCUAUAAUGUGCCAGUUCUGGAAGUACUGUCCCAGAAUUUGUCAUCAUGUGCUUUAUACUUGUUUCCAACUAAGGUAUGUUGCUGCAGAUUUUUCAGUGUAUCUUAGCUUUUAUUGCUUUGGAUUCGCUGAUCCUGCAAAAUCCACUUGCAUACUGUUGAUUUUUUAGAAUACAUUUGGACAUUAUGUAGAUAACACUUUUUGUUCGUGUGUAUAGGCCUUAGCUCAAGAUCAACUAAGAGUAUUAUUAGCUAUGAAAAAAGGGUUUGACACUACCAUAAAUAUUGGUAUAUAUGAUGGCGAUACUUCUCAGACUGAAAGGCCAUGGCUGCGCACUAAUGCCAGACUGGUAUUUUAGUAGGUUAUAGCUGUCUUAAAAAUGACAAUUUUCUUUGUGCUUAAACUUUUUCAUACUUUCGGAAUGCAGCUGAUCACAAAUCCAGAUAUGUUACACAUUUCAAUCUUACCAUUUCAUAGACAAUUCAGUCGAAUUUUAUCAAAUCUUAGGUUUGUGGUGAUUGAUGAAGCCCAUGCUUACAAAGGAGCAUUUGGAUGCCAUACUGCUCUUAUAUUGAGAAGACUCCGCCGGAUCUGUUCUCACGUGUAUGGCAGUAAUCCUUCAUUUAUAUUCUCAACUGCAACUUCAGCCAACCCUCGUGAGCAUUGUAUGGAACUUGCAAACCUAUCAACAUUGGAGCUCAUUAACAAUGAUGGAAGUCCUUCUUCACAAAAAUUUUUUGCUCUUUGGAAUCCUAUGUCAUGUCCUGGAACUGUGUCAAAUAAAGAUGAAAGUGACUCAGCAAAUAAAAGAACAAGUCCAAUUUCAGAAGUGUCAUACCUCUUUGCAGAAAUGGUUCAGCAUGGACUUCGCUGCAUAGCUUUUUGCAAUUCACGCAAACUCACUGAGCUUGUUUUGUCAUACACAUGCUGAAAGAAAAUGAUCUUCGUAAUUUCUAUGACUGAUAGGCGUGAGAUUCUUCAAAAAUCAGCUCCCCACCUUGUGGAUUUAGUGUGUGCUUAUCGUGCCGGCUAUGCUGCUGAGGAUCGGAGGAAAAUAGAGAGAGAUUUUUUCAGUGGAAAGCUGUGUGGUAUUGCUGCAACAAAUGCUCUUGAGUUGGGCAUAGAUGUUGGUCACAUUGAUGCCACGCUGCAUUUAGGCUUUCCUGGUAGUAUUGCUAGCCUGUGGCAACAAGCUGGCAGAUCUGGGAGAAGAGAAAAGCCAUCUCUUGCUGUGUAUGUUGCAUUUGAUGGGCCACUUGAUCAAUAUUUUAUGAAAUUUCCAAAGAAACUCUUCAAUAGCCCAAUUGAGUGCUGUCACAUUGAUGCUCAAAACCAGCAGGUGCUUGAACAACAACUGGUCUGCGCUGCCCUUGAGCACCCAUUGAGUUUGCUUUAUGAUGAAAAAUAUUUUGGCUCUGGUUUGAGCAAGUCAAUAAUGUCCCUUAAAAAUAAGGGAUAUCUGAGUUCUAAUCUCUCACAUGAUUCUUCUGCUAGAAUAUGGAGCUACAUUGGGCAUGAGAAAAUACCUUCGCACGGAAUUAGCAUUCGAGCAAUAGAGACUGUAAGAUACAGUGUAAUAGACAAAAAACAGAACAAAGUCCUUGAAGAGAUAGAGGAAAGCAAGGCUUUCUUUCAGGUAUAUGAGGGGGCAGUCUAUAUGCACCAGGGGAAGACCUAUCUGGUUGAGGAAUUGAAUAUAUCAGAAAAGAUUGCUUUUUGUCAUAGAGCUGAUUUGCAAUAUUAUACAAAAACCCGUGAUUAUACAGAUAUUCAUGUCCGCGGUGGUGAUAUGGCUUAUCUAGCAAGGAUUUCCAAUAACCAGUCCUUAAAAACAACAGCUCAAGCAAGUUCUUGCAAAGUAACAACAACUUGGUUUGGCUUCUAUUGCAUACAGAGAAGGACCAAGAAAAUCCUGGAUAAAUGUGGUCUUUCACUGCCUAAAUACUCGUACGAAUCACAGGCAGUCUGGAUUCAAGUUCCUCAAUCAGUUAAAAACUCAGUACAGAAGGAUUUUCCAUUCCGUGAGGGUCUGCAUGCGGCUUCUCAUGCUCUUCUUAAACUAGUACCUCUAUAUAUAAGAUGCAACUCAUCUGACUUGGCUCCUGAAUGCCCAAACCCUCAUGAUACCCGCUUUUGUCCUGAAAGAAUUCUAGUAUAUGAUCAGCAUCCAGGAGGGACUGGUGUCUCAAUGCAGAUUCAGCCUUAUUUCACUGAGCUUCUUUAUGCUGCUUUGGAACUUCUUACAUC
rnacentral:misc_RNA from 1 species